rnacentral:rRNA from 1 species
UAGGCUAAAAGCUCCGGCGCUCAAGGAUGAGUCUGCGACCUAUCAGGCUGUAGUGGGUGCAACGGACCCACUAACCUUCGACGGGUACGGGCCUUGAGAGAGGUUGCCCGGAGUUGGACUCUUAGACACGAGUCCAGGCCCUACGGGGUGCAGCAGGCGCGAAAACUUCACAAUGUGGGAAACCACGAUGAGGGGAUUCCAAGUGCCAGCACACUGUGUUGGCUGUUCAUCUGCCUAAAAAGCUGGUGAAGUAAGGGCCGGGUAAGACGGGUGCCAGCCGCCGCGGUAAUACCCGCGGCCCGAGUGGUGGUCGUUAUUAUUGAGCCUAAAGCGUCCGUAGCCGGUCCAGUAAAUCUCUGGGUAAAUCGGGCAGCUUAACCGUCCGAAUUCCGGAAAGACUGCUGGACUUGGGACCGGGGGAGGUUGGAGGUACUCCUGGGGUAGGGGUGAAAUCCUGUAAUCCUGGGGGGACCACCAGUGGCGAAGGCGUCCAACCAAAACGGCUCCGACGGUAAGGGACGAAGCCCUGGGGCGCAAACGGGAUUAGAUACCCCGGUAGUCCAGGGUGUAAACGCUGCAGGUUUGGUGUUGGGGGUCCUACGAGGGCGCCCAGUGCCGGAGAGAAGUUGUUAAACCUGCCGCUUGGGGAGUACGUCCGCAAGGAUGAAACUUAA